AAUAUUAAAAUAAGAUACAAACAGGAUAAAACUUCAGCCAUGUUAACCAUUAAGGAUUAAGUUUGAAAUAUAAAGAAACUUUUGGAACUUAUGGAAGAUAUAUCAAAGAAACUUUAGGAACUUACGGCAGAUUUAUCAAAUUAAUUGACAGCGUUAAAUUUCAGUCUUAGAAAAAACAUGCUUCGCGAGCUUGCGGCACGAGUGAUCUCUCACAAAACGAGAAAGAAAAAAUUAGAAAAAUGAAGGGGAUUUAGUUAAGAAAGAUGGGUUUCUCAUCUAAAAUGAACUGACGUCUUAAUCCUGCUCGUAUAAGGACUUUAAAGGGAUACCUGUCAACAUCUCGAUAUACGUUAGAUUUUAAAGAUUUAUUACACAGAAGAAGAUUAAAAUGUACACUGGUAACCUCGUAGAGAAGUAAUACUCUUCUUCUAACUUCUGGCUGAUGCAACUUCUCGGACGAAAGUCGCGAGGAUCUAACGUAGUUCCAAAUUGUUUUAGAUCCUAACAAGAUUAACUCGACUUCGAAAUGUUAAAUAACCUAAACCUUUUUGCGUAUCUCCUUGAAGCGCGUUCUUCGUAUAUUAAAUCUGGCACCGUUCGGGAAAAUGUUGACACUUGACAUGUGAAAAAUUCGUAACGACAGCAAGCCACAAGACACGGUUAUGAAAGUACUAUAUUCGAUGACUUUCCUGAAUCUCUCCCAAGCCACACCGUUAAAGGAUCAACUAGAGAAAUCAUUGGAAAUGGAGUAAAGUCAACUACAAUACCUACUCGACAAGAGUUCUACUGACCUAGACUGAUCUAAUCCCAGCUGGAACAACGUAGGCUUGUUAAAAGUUAGGUAAAAUCAAUCAAGACGACGAGCUGACUCGGUUGAAGUCUCAUUGAUCCACCUAGAUCUAAUCCAUGCCUAACCUGAACUCUCGAAGGAUCUAAACCAGACCUAACUUGCAACGAGAUCCAGGAACACUUACGGAGUUCAAACAGCUCCGAUUGACUUGGUAUAUACAUGUCAUGAUGAUUGGGGCUUUAAGAGAUUAGUAAAAUCUAAUUUAAUGGAAGAUUCGUGUUCGGUACACGUGGUUCACUAUCAGACAAUGCGAGUUUGGUUAUCUCAAUUAAUUUUAAUGAAUUUCAAUAAACUAUGUACAUACAUAUAAAUCUUUAUACAUAUAUCCUUAGAUAUCAAAGAAGGUUAAAAAGUAGCUGAGUUUGUUCGAUAGUAUAUCUAGUAUUAAAUAGUUUUAUUCGAAUAUUAAUGUAUAGCAAAUUAGAAUAAUAUUGAGAAUUACGAUGAUUUUCAACCUAAUUAAUAGGAUACCAAUUAAUGGAUAUAUUCAAUUGGAUCGAUAUAGUCUGUGAAGUGUUUGUGGGGAUUAUACAAGACUCGUAAUUAUAAACUGGAUUUUGACCAGAUCAGUGAAUCGACCAGUCUUUCCUAGCAUUUACAUGUAUCAAAUGGUUUAUUUGUAUAGGAGCCUGUAAAUUAUCGCUACGGCAAUUACCGUAACCAUGUACACGUGUGUAAAUUACAGUGAUGAAUAGAUAUAGCGACGAACUGAAAUGGACUUAUACCAAAUUCAACUUUAUUAAUUUAGUUCAUAUAAUAUUCGAAAUAAAAAUGUGAAAGUCGACUUAUAUCUAUAGUGCUUCAAAAUGUAGGAAAUGUACCUCCAAAUCUCAUAUUAUGGAAGAAAAUAGAAAUACCCUACACGUUUCAUAAUAGAAAUAGUCGAAUUUACGUUACGUAUAGACCCCUGUUAUAUUAUAUGAAGAUCAGACGAAACAACGUGAUAAACGAUUUUCAAAUUCAAUAGUCAAUCCCAUCUUACAAGAUUGGGAUUAGGCUAUUGAAAUCCUAUCUUAUCAAAACUUGUCUAAAGGAAUAUCAAAAUAAAAAAACUAACACAAAUGUAUUUGUAGACGUCUUUCGCAUAUACCCUGUUAUAUUAUAUGAAGAUCAGACGAAACAACGUGAUAAACGAUUUUCAAAUUCAAUAGUCAAUCCCAUCUUACAAGAUUAGGAUUAGGCUAUUGAAAUCCUAUCUUAUCAAAACUUGUCUAAAGGAAUAUCAAAAUAAAAAAACUAACACAAAUGUAUUUGUAGACGUCUUUCGCAUAUGCUCUUCGUGUAGUAUAAAUAAAGAAAAGAAAUAUAGAAUAGAA